AGUGAACGCUGGCGGUAGGCCUAGCACAUGCAAGUCGAACGGCAGCACAGUAAGAGCUUGCUCUUACGGGUGGCGAGUGGCGGACGGGUGCGGAAUACAUCGGAAUCUACUUUUUCGUGGGGGAUAACGUGGGGAAACUUACGCUAAUACCGCAUACGACCUACGGGUGAAAGCAUGGGAUCUUCGGACCUUGCGCGAUUGAAUGAGCCGAUGUCGGAUUAGCUAGUUGGCGGGGUAAAGGCCCACCAAGGCGACGAUCCGUAGCUGGUCUGAGAGGAUGAUCAGCCACACUGGAACUGAGACACGGUCCAGACUCCUACGGGAGGCAGCAGUGGGGAAUAUUGGACAAUGGGCGCAAGCCUGAUCCAGCCAUACCGCGUGGGUGAAGAAGGCCUUCGGGUUGUAAAGCCCUUUUGUUGGGAAAGAAAAGCAGCAGGUUAAUACCCCGCUGUUCUGACGGUACCCAAAGAAUAAGCACCGGCUAACUUCGUG
rnacentral:rRNA from 1 species